UAGUAUUCAAUUGUCAGAGGUGAAAUUCUUGGAUUUAUUGAAGACUAACUACUGCGAAAGCAUUUGCCAAGGAUGUUUUCAUUAAUCAAGAACGAAAGUUAGGGGAUCGAAGACGAUCAGAUACCGUCGUAGUCUUAACCACAAACUAUGCCGACUAGGGAUCGGAUGAUGUUAAUUUUUUAAUGACUCA
rnacentral:rRNA from 1 species